rnacentral:rRNA from 1 species
GGUCCUAAGGUAGCGAAAUUCCUUGUCGGGUAAGUUCCGACCCGCACGAAAGGCGCAACGAUCUGGGCACUGUCUCAACGAGAGACUCGGUGAAAUUAUAGUACCUGUGAAGAUGCAGGUUACCCGCGACAGGACGGAAAGACCCCGUGGAGCUUUACUGCAGCCUGAUAUUGAAUGUUGGUACAGCUUGUACAGGAUAGGUAGGAGCCUUGGAAACCGGAGCGCUAGCUUCGGUGGAGGCAUCGGUGGGAUACUACCCUGGCUGUAUUGACCUUCUAACCCGCUGCCCUUAUCGGGCAGGGAGACAGUGUCAGGUGGGCAGUUUGACUGGGGCGGUCGCCUCCUAAAAUGUAACGGAGGCGCCCAAAGGUUCCCUCAGAAUGGUUGGAAAUCAUUCGCAGAGUGUAAAGGCACAAGGGAGCUUGACUGCGAGACCUACAAGUCGAGCAGGGACGAAAGUCGGGCUUAGUGAUCCGGUGGUUCCGCAUGGAAGGGCCAUCGCUCAACGGAUAAAAGCUACCCCGGGGAUAACAGGCUUAUCUCCCCCAAGAGUCCACAUCGACGGGGAGGUUUGGCACCUCGAUGUCGGCUCAUCGCAUCCUGGGGCUGUAGUCGGUCCCAAGGGUUGGGCUGUUCGCCCAUUAAAGCGGUACGCGAGCUGGGUUCAGAACGUCGUGAGACAGUUCGGUCCCUAUCCGUCGCGGGCGCAGGAAAUUUGAGAGGAGCUGUCCUUAGUACGAGAGGACCGGGAUGGACGCACCGCUGGUGUACCAGUUGUUCUGCCAAGGGCAUCGCUGGGUAGCUAUGUGCGGACGGGAUAAGUGCUGAAAGCAUCUAAGCAUGAAGCCCCCCUCAAGAUGAGAUUUCCCAUUCCGCAAGGAAGUAAGAUCCCUGAAAGAUGAUCAGGUUGAUAGGUCUGAGGUGGAAGCGUGGUGACACGUGGAGCUGACAGAUACUAAUAGAUCGAGGACUUAACCUAUA